rnacentral:rRNA from 1 species
AUUGAACGCUGGCGGCAGGCCUAACACAUGCAAGUCGAGCGGUAGCACAGGAGAGCUUGCUCUCUGGGUGACGAGCGGCGGACGGGUGAGUAAUGUCUGGGAAACUGCCUGAUGGAGGGGGAUAACUACUGGAAACGGUAGCUAAUACCGCAUAACGUCUUCGGACCAAAGUGGGGGACCUUCGGGCCUCACGCCAUCAGAUGUGCCCAGAUGGGAUUAGCUAGUAGGUGGGGUAAUGGCUCACCUAGGCAACGAUCCCUAGCUGGUCUGAGAGGAUGACCAGCCACACUGGAACUGAGACACGGUCCAGACUCCUACGGGAGGCAGCAGUGGGGAAUAUUGCACAAUGGGCGCAAGCCUGAUGCAGCCAUGCCGCGUGUGUGAAGAAGGCCUUCGGGUUGUAAAGCACUUUCAGCGAGGAGGAAGGGUUCAGUGUUAAUAGCACUGUUCAUUGACGUUACUCGCAGAAGAAGCACCGGCUAACUCCGUGCCAGCAGCCGCGGUAAUACGGAGGGUGCAAGCGUUAAUCGGAAUUACUGGGCGUAAAGCGCACGCAGGCGGUUUGUUAAGUCAGAUGUGAAAUCCCCGCGCUUAACGUGGGAACUGCAUUUGAAACUGGCAAGCUAGAGUCUUGUAGAGGGGGGUAGAAUUCCAGGUGUAGCGGUGAAAUGCGUAGAGAUCUGGAGGAAUACCGGUGGCGAAGGCGGCCCCCUGGACAAAGACUGACGCUCAGGUGCGAAAGCGUGGGGAGCAAACAGG